GAUGUUCUCGUGGGGAUGGGUUUGGGAAGGCCGGGUUUCAUCCCGGUUGCCAUCUUGACUCCUGCCUCCUCCAUCUCUCUCCCCGCGUCACCAUGGGAGCCCCGCCGACGCCUGCCAUCCCUCCUCCCUCGUCUCCGUUCGAAGCCGAGGACCGGCUCACCCCACAGCUUUUCUCCACCUACGACCUAGGGUUGGGGAGGGAGGCCGGGUCUUCUCGGUGGGGUGGAGGAGCCGGGGAUGGCCGGGAGGCCGACGGUGGGGGGAGCAUCGAGGCCGGCGGAUGGAGCAGCGAGGCCCGAGCUCUAGGCGUCGUACACAUUGAUGGAUGGAGAAGAGGCCGGCGUGGGGCGCAAGGAGCAGCGGGGGGAGAACGGUGGGGCUUUCAUCUCCUCUCUUCUAAUCGCGACUCCUGUGACCUCGCCACCGGUGCUCGCUCGACUGGCGUAUGGGGCGGCGGCCGGGACGUUGGCCCUCGGCCGAACUCGAAGCCGAGUCUAGCUGACAAGACUCGUGGUAUACUGAUUCCUUGAUGCUCUGUUCAUGAAGCUAUGCAGGCCGGCGGUUAGUGUUGCAGCCUGCACACACGACAGGAGCAGCAGUCAGGUCCAUGGACAUUGCUUUGGGAGCAGCGGUCAAGCCACGGGGUACCAUCAAUUCAGAAAAUAACUUUCCUUCUUGUGAGAUAUCAAACAAUACAUUUCCUACAAAUCCGAGAUUCAGGCAGCCUUGUUGAUGUACGAAGAAUUGGUGCAUUUUGUCGGAAGAUGACGAACUAUUUCUUCACUCACAUGGCCAGGUACAUGCAAAUCUUUAUGUUUUUCAAGAUUGCUGGGUCUGUAGUCUGUACAUGGGCUACAUUCAUUUUCUCAUAUGUGUUUCUACUGGUUCGCAGCAGCUACCUAUUGGCCUUUUUUGACGUACCUUUAUUAACAUGUUAUCAGGUAUACGAUCACUUUUAGAGCAUGUUAUCACAUACCACAUGGUUUAGUGAGACAUACCAAUAUCAUUAUAAAUCUCUGGUUUACUAUCGAAUUCUUGAAUUUUUAUUUGAGAUCCUUUUGUUCAUCUCCUCCAAUUGUUGUCUGAAAAUAGUCUUGUUUUACCCACAUCAUUUCUAUAAACCAAGUAGCCUUUGGAGGAUGUAGCAAACCUUCAUGUCUGCAGCCUGUCAUCCUUGAACAAGACUAAUUGGAAAUUGUCUGAUAUUGAACUUUUGAAGUACGAAAUUUAUGCUUUCGUUACCUACUUAGCUAUGUUACACGCCAUUCAUUCAUUUGCUAUGUGAUCUUGAUCUGUGCUUUGCAUUCUUACUUGAUUGGUUAUUCCCAGAUUGAUCUCAAUGUUUUGAAUGCUCAAGUCAACCAUGAUACUUAAAAUCGUCUCUUAACUUAUUGCAUUCACUGCUGAAAUUUUCACACUCCCUGUCAUUAUUGUGUACAGUGAAUCUUGCAUCUUUUGAAUUGUUGAAACAAACUUAUGCGUAAUUAUGGGGCAUCCAAUGCAAGCCCCAGCCACGGGAUGUCAGUUCCGCACCGCUGCCAGCGACCGCCGUUCUGUUGCCUUGGAUUCGGGUGUGGCGUUGGCUGGGAACCGUAUGGUGUUUGUCUGACGCGCCGUCCGCAUCGUGGGGGUUUGGUCGGUUGACUCCAGGUAUGAGCAGCUCCUGAGCUUGAUGGCUGGAUGUAUCAUGGUCAUGUUGCUUGGUGUGCAGAGGCAACCUCAUUUUUGGACCAAAAAGAGGGGCGAUGACGAUGACGACUGGCUGAAACAAUCAUGUCUUGAGCAAUCAAGACAGCCUUGGCUUGUGGGACUAAACAGAGCUGAAAAAGUCGGUGUCACCGUUGGAGUUGCCCUUAGAGCCUACCCUAACCUCUGUUGUAGCCUGCUCAAUUUUAUUGCCGAUGUUGGAUGAUCUGUGCCUUGGACGGUUGUUCUGAUGAGUGAUACUCUGGGACUAGGUCUAUUUCAACACACUAACCCAUUGACCUCCCAUGUUCCUGGGGAGCGUUGCAUGUCGGAAAAGUUAGGGUUUGUGUCACGCAAAGUUCUGCAUUGACACUUAGAAAGUAAGUGAAAAGUGAUAUGCCAUUUUUUGAGGCUAUCUACAAUCCCGUUAAAAGGCAACUGCUAAACACCGAAGGGCAAUGGAACUCAAUUUGUCGGUAUCGCAGUUUGAUAAAUUAUAUUAGUGGUAUUUCUUGGAUUUAUAUAAGAAAAACAAAAAUAGCUACCUUUGUGUGAAUUACAAUGCUAAUGAUCAAUUCUUUGUAUCAGACAUGAAUGGACAGAUUCAAGAUUUCCUUUCACCUAGGCUUGGUUAGUUGGCCACUUCAAUUCCCACUUCCUGUCAUGUAAUCUUGAUGUCGAUACUUUGACAUUACAUACAGAAUAUGAUGCAAUAUGUAGAAGUUACUAAUGGUCAAAAAUUUUCUGGAUACGACGCUUGCUUACUCCUAUUCACAUUAUGUAGAAGUUGCAUAAGGCAGAACAAGAAUAAGAACAUUUGUCAGUUUUUUCAUUUGCAGGUUCAGCAGCGGGCAAUGCUCAAGACAGAGUUGGGCGCACAUCAUAUAUAUACAUAUGUUGUCGUGUCUUAAUAAAUGGAGAUGAGCAGAAGUAGAGAUGAAAUAGGCUGUUCUGUUGCUUCUGUGACCGGCAAGUGUUCAUUGCAUGCCUGUGUGUCGUUGUGCUCUGAUUGGUUGUUUUUUGUGUAUUUUCGCAGGUUGCACGAGCUCUGCUGUAGCUGCGUCGUUCGACUCAUCAAGAUAUACCACGAAGGGAAGAUCUGCCUCACUGUGCACUUCAGGGGCGCAUACACUAGCGAUGGUACAGGAUUGGCUUCCUGGUGGAAUCAGGUGCGCGUCGUCCAUGGUGGCCUGUCGUGGGUGUUGGUGGGCGGCUGGAGGCGGCUGUAGCAGGUCGAUUUAUCUGACUACUGAAAAUGAGCUUCAGAAUAUCUGUAGAACGUAGCCCACUUCCAGCCAAAUAUCAAUUAUGAUAAUUCCACCAUGUACCAUGAUCAUUUGAACAGUCUUGCUUAAGUUUAUGUUAGCCCUGUAUGCUAAUUUGAGGAGAUUGUUAACUUUAAGGUGCGAACAUUUAUAAAAUGAUAAUUGUACCGUUCUUUGGGAUUUUGUGAUUCCUAUGGAAUUAAGAGGUCAUCUAUUGCCCUAUCCCUAUUUGUAAUUUCAAAUAGUUAUUUUUGGGUGCACUUCUGUUUUAGAAAUGAAUCAGUAACCAAUUAUGCUUGAUGUUUCAAGCAGAACUAGAAUUGGUAAACAACUAUCUGUGAAGCAUAUAUGGAGGCGGGAGUCUGGUUUGUUUUUUUGCUAUGUGCCUAUUUGCUUAAGAAAAUACUUGACUAGAGAGCAGAUUCCAAAUGGAGCUGCAUUUUCAUGCGUCAGGUCUAUUUUUUAUUUGCAAUGUUGCACCCUCUUUUCAUUUCUUGUGAAUAUUUUUUUUGUUUGAUCAGUACUGCACCUGGUUAUCUACAGAGGAAGGCAAGGAUAACUAGAUUAAACAUUUCACAAGACCCUCCCAAUUACAGGCACAAACUCCUUUCAAGAUAUUACAAGUGUGGUUGAUUAUGGGAGAUUGUCAGAUGAAAAGAAGGUAUAUCCUUUAUAUUUAUCUAGAUGUUUAAUUAGCUGCACAACCAUAAUUGAUUCUAUAAGGAAACUAUUUAUCCUGAUGAUCUUGAUAUCCAGUCAUGUAUUACAGUAUUAGUAUAGGCUGUAAUUUUUGGCUAGGAAUCUAUAUAUACAGAACCUAAACUGAAGACUCAAUAUAGCACAUAUACUUGGCCAGUUAUCCUAAGAAUAUUAAUCCACCUGGACUUUUAACUUGACUUCCAAAGAAGUUCUUAACGAUCAAGCAUUUUUGAGUUUUUAGUAAAUUGAAAUAAUGUUGCACUUUGACAAUACUAUUCUGAUUUUGCAAGUUAAUAGAAAUCCUUCAAUUUCAUAUCACUAUUUUAAUCGCAUAUUUGGAUGAUUGCGACAUUAUCUCUUCUCGGAAUUCCGCUUGCAUGUUUCCAGUUGAGACAAUAACUGAGUUUGAUAAGUAACCACUAUAUUAUUUUCUAUGUGUACACAUGUUGUCGCUCUGCUUGAGUCAUCCAUCUCCACAUUACGAGCCCGAGACUUCCAUCACAACAAUCUAUAUGUAUCCAGGUAGUGUCCAAUAUGUACACACAGGCUCCUCUCACAGGUCGACUAAGCUGAUUGUAACUGAAUGUGUGUGUGUGGCCGUGAAGCAGACUUUAUCUUGGUCUGAGUAUCAGUUCCCUUCAAUGGUACAAUUUUGGAUACUAUUUUCUUCUAGAUGUAUAGGUUUCUGCUGGUCCCAUUGGCUGCUACAUUUUAGUGAUACGAUAGCUCAAUGUCAUGCUCACCAAUUGUUCUGUAAAAAUGAAAAAUCGACUUGACUGUAUUUUGUACCUGUUUUAGUAAUUACAUGAUGUGAUUAGUUUCAUUCUAGAUAUGGAAAUAUUCUAAGGGUUAAGCUUUUUGAGACGUUAAGGUAUCUGAUGAUUAAUUAGCCUUUGUAAGAUUUAUGCACUCAUGUCAUACAACCUAGAUAAUUCUCCUUGGAUCUCCAUAAUUUCUAAUUGAAUAUAGAUGUAUACUGACAGUAAAUCCCGUUUUAGUAAUUAGUUGGAUAUAAGUGAUAAUUCUUUGACAUGUUUUUAUGAAAUGUCUGCUUAAAUCAGCGUUAGAUGCUCCCAUAAUCGAUUACUUUUUGGAUAUGAAUUAUUACUAUAAGAAGUAUAUUGGUUCUCCGGUGUUUUCAGUUCUUACAAUAAACAAAUUAUAUUGUUUUCCACUAAUCAUUUCUCAUGUAGUUUUACUCUGCAGUAUGUAUCUUUUGCUUCAUAACUCAUCUGUUCACAAGAUUGAUGCCUAGAAAUUUCAGCCUUCCGUGCUAAAUGCCGUCUGCUCAUUUGUAACGGCAUAGAGAUAGGAACGAGCAAUUCAUCUUAAGUUUGAGAAAGUGGCGGACAAAAGAGAACUGGACUAUUGUUGCUGAGCGCUAGCUCUGGCCGCAUGAUCAUCUAUAUAUAUAGUUUUCAACAGUAAAUGCAUCCUGAUUGGUAUAGCACAAAUGGAAAUCUUACUUUCUUCUAAACUCUUAAUUUCAAGAUGAACUGGAGAGGGGAAUUUGUACUAAGUUUGGAAUCUAUCACAGUAAGUGUGUAUUUGCGGUAUUGAUGUACAGUUAUUAAGAAAGUUACAUUUUUCAGCUAUUGUGCUACUGAGAAGGAAGCAUGGCUGAGAAUUGCUCUGGCUGGAGUUGAAUGUCUUUGUGACUGAAUACUAGAGACGCUGACUUGCAGCCACUCUUUACAGUCCUACCACGUAGCUUUUAUCUCUCACCUUCCGUUAUUUUCAUGUUAACACUGCCAUUGGGGCAAAUCUAUAUUGCUUAUUGAUCGGGUCUAGCUAUAGGUAGAAUUCCAUGUUUCCUACACUGUAUUAUACCCAUUACUAAUUGAAUGUUGAUUCUGACAAUCUUAAGACAUCCACCAUAGUCGUGGCAACUCGAAAAACGUAAGCUGGAGAAAUAUCAAAAUCACACGAAACCUCCCCUUAGCUAAUACCAUAAGGGUUCGAUUGAGGCUCUCUGUUAACAGCGCUUUGGUAAAAGUAAGCGUGUGGAUGAUGUUAUAGUGAGCUACCAUCACUUCUUAUUACUGACUGUAAUCAAUAUAUAUGUGUUUAUGCCAUAAAAGAUGGAUAUUUGUCGAAGCCAUUGUGGUGUCAUGUAAUUACUUGCAGAUCAACUAUAUAGUUUUGUUUGGAUUGUAAAGUGGAAACGAUAAAACCCUACAACUCAUGUGUGAAACUCAGUUGAUUAUUUACUUCCUCAAGUAGUAUGGAUAUGGUGCUGCCAGGAUAUUAAGUAUAUUCAUGAAGUUGUAUAAACCACGUUCUACGA